ACUCAAAAAGAGCUGUGUGCAGUGGCAUGUGCCUCUCAUCCUAGCGCUGGGGAGGCAGAGGCAGGAGGAU
rnacentral:miRNA from 1 species